rnacentral:rRNA from 1 species
CAGUCGCCACGGUAACACGAAGGGGGCUAGCGUUGCUCGGAAUGACUGGGCGUAAAGGGCGCGUAGGCGGCGAUCAAAGUCAGGCGUGAAAUUCCUGGGCUCAACCUGGGGGCUGCGUUUGAUACUUGAUUGCUAGAGUGGGGAAGAGGGUCGUGGAAUUCCCAGUGUAGAGGUGAAAUUCGUAGAUAUUGGGAAGAACACCGGUGGCGAAGGCGGCGACCUGGUCCUUUACUGACGCUGAGGCGCGAAAGCGUGGGGAGCAAACAGGAUUAGAUACCCGCGUAGUCCCUGUCUCUUAUAC